GGUUCCGUGGUGUAGGGGUUAACAUGCACGCCUGUCACGCGAGGGAGAUCGCGGGUUCAAAUCCCGUCGGAACCGCCA
rnacentral:tRNA from 1 species